rnacentral:rRNA from 1 species
AUUGAACGCUGGCGGCAUGCUUUACACAUGCAAGUCGAACGGUAACAGGGAGCUUGCUCCGCUGACGAGUGGCGAACGGGUGAGUAAUGCGUCGGAACGUGCCGAGUAGUGGGGGAUAACGCAGCGAAAGUUGUGCUAAUACCGCAUACGUACUGAGGUAGAAAGUGGGGGACCUUCGGGCCUCACGCUAUUCGAGCGGCCGACGUCUGAUUAGCUAGUAGGUGAGGUGAAGGCUCACCUAGGCGACGAUCAGUAGCGGGGCUGAGAGGAUGAUCCGCCACACUGGGACUGAGACACGGCCCAGACUCCUACGGGAGGCAGCAGUGGGGAAUUUUGGACAAUGGGCGAAAGCCUGAUCCAGCCAUGCCGCGUGUCUGAAGAAGGCCUUCGGGUUGUAAAGGACUUUUGUCGGGGAGGAAAUCCCCAGCGCUAAUACCGCUGGGGGAUGACAGUACCUGAAGAAUAAGCACCGGCUAACUACGUGCCAGCCGCCGCCGUAA